rnacentral:precursor_RNA from 1 species
UUCAACACGUUUUCUUUUUGUCGGUGGUUUGUCACCGACGACGAAGAAAUAGGCUGAGGAGGC